rnacentral:lncRNA from 1 species
CAUUUUAAAUUGUGACAUGCACUGGGAAGAUAACCAUCAAGGGACUGAGAUGGAUGGAUCUUUUAGCAGGGUCUUAAAGGCUUACUUGGAGAGCUGACAUUAUCCUGAGAAAAAGAUAAGGAGUUUCUUUUUGAGAAAAAAAAAAAAAAAAAGAGGAGGAGAGGGAGAGACCAUCAGCAGGGAGAGCAAAGAACAUGUGCAUAGCCUCGAGGUGGGGAAGAGCUUGUGUGCUCCAGUGACUGAAUGAGAGGAGCCCAGUGGGUCUGGAGGACUGUGACUCAGGGAAAGAGGAGUCAAGAUUGGAAAGAAAUCAGGGGCGAGAUCAAGGAUGGCCCUAAAAGACAGAAUGGGAAAUUGUUUUACUCUGGAUGUGGCAGGAAGCUAAAGAGUUGUGCUUAGAGCUUAUUAAAUGAAUGAAGGCGAGUGACAUGAUACAAUUAAUAUCUUUUCAUUUGUGCUUCUUCAUUGAAAAUAGAUUGCAGAAGUGAGAAGAGAAACAGAGAGACCAGCUGGGAGCUGCUGCGGUAACCCAGGUGAGAGAGAUGGUGGCCUGGACCAAUGCUUGGCAUGGAGGUGGAGAGAAGUGAUAUAACUGAUUUAAGUCAAUCAGCUGCUUGAUCCAGAUAAUGCCAAGUGUGGAUACUGUGGUGGACCAUGGAGCUGCAGGAAGCCUGGAAGACAACAGAAAGAGGACAAGAGAACAAGGACUUUGGCGGCAGAGAUAUGGAGCACGUGGGCGGAUCCAAGCACGCUGGACGGAGGUGCAUAGAACUGGUUGGGGAUGGGGUAGGCAGGAGGUGAACCAGCUCAGCUCCGAGAGCUCUGGGGUUUCAUCUGCUCUAUAUUUAUGACUUUCUAUAAAUCACACAUGGAGCAAUGGGAAAUGCCCUGGACAGAGUAUAAGGAAACCAGUUUUCCAGACCUGGCUUGGUUUCUAACAAGCUGUGUGGCCUUAGGCAAGUCAAAAUUUCUGGGUCUCAGUUUCCUUAUCUGUCAAAUGAGAUUGACUGACUUUGAUGUACUCUAAGCUCCCAUUCAUCUCUCAAAUGCUAUGGUCAGAUUCCCUUUCUUCAGCCUCUGAAACUGCAAUGUGCACCCCCUUUCUGAGUAGAAGUCCUGUUCCACGUUCCUUUUGAGACAGGAACGCUGAACCUGGGUGCAAGUGGAAGACAUUUUAAAUGGAAUAU